AGAGAGUCAUUUAAGCCGAACAGGUCCUUCCCUCAUGGGGCUCUGGUACACACCGCCUACGGGCAGCCAUCUUGGUAGUGGAUGAGGCCUGUUGCUUCUAAGGGCUGUACUAAGGACCUUGGAGACAGAU